rnacentral:rRNA from 1 species
UACGUAGGGUGCAAGCGUUGUUCGGAAUUACUGGGCGUAAAGGGCUCGUAGGCGGCCAACUAAGUCAGACGUGAAAUCCCUCGGCUUAACUGGGGAACUGCGUGUGAUACUGGAUGGCUUGGAUUUGGGAGAGGGAUGCGGAAUUCCAGGUGUAGCGGUGAAAUGCGUAGAUAUCUGGAGGAACACCGGUGGCGAAGGCGGCAUCCUGGACCAAUAUUGACGCUGAGGAGCGAAAGCCAGGGGAGCAAACGGG